rnacentral:rRNA from 1 species
GAUGAACGCUGGCGGCGUGCCUAAUACAUGCAAGUCGAGCGAACGGACGAGAAGCUUGCUUCUCUGAUGUUAGCGGCGGACGGGUGAGUAACACGUGGAUAACCUACCUAUAAGACUGGGAUAACUUCGGGAAACCGGAGCUAAUACCGGAUGAUAUUUUGAACCGCAUGGUUCAAAAGUGAAAGACGGUCUUGCUGUCACUUAUAGAUGGAUCCGCGCUGCAUUAGCUAGUUGGUAAGGUAACGGCUUACCAAGGCAACGAUGCAUAGCCGACCUGAGAGGGUGAUCGGCCACACUGGAACUGAGACACGGUCCAGACUCCUACGGGAGGCAGCAGUAGGGAAUCUUCCGCAAUGGGCGAAAGCCUGACGGAGCAACGCCGCGUGAGUGAUGAAGGUCUUCGGAUCGUAAAACUCUGUUAUUAGGGAAGAACAUAUGUGUAAGUAACAGUGCACAUCUUGACGGUACCUAAUCAGAAAGCCACGGCUAACUCCGUG